GAUCAUGGCUCAGAUUGAACGCUGGCGGCAGGCCUAACACAUGCAAGUCGAACGGUAACAGAAAGCAGCUUGCUGCUUUGCUGACGAGUGGCGGACGGGUGAGUAAUGUCUGGGAAACUGCCCGAUGGAGGUGGAUAACUACUGGAAACGGUAGCUAAUACCGCAUAACGUCGCAAGACCAAAGGAGGGGGACCUUCGGGCCUCUUGCCAUCGGAUGUGCCCAGAUGGGAUUAGCUAGG
rnacentral:rRNA from 1 species